rnacentral:rRNA from 1 species
UGGGGAAUAUUGCACAAUGGGCGCAAGCCUGAUGCAGCCAUGCCGCGUGUAUGAAGAAGGCCUUCGGGUUGUAAAGUACUUUCAGCCGGGAGGAAGGUGGUAAGGUUAAUAACCUUAUCAAUUGACGUUACCGACAGAAGAAGCACCGGCUAACUCCGUGCCAGCAGCCGCGGUAAUACGGAGGGUGCAAGCGUUAAUCGGAAUUACUGGGAGUAAAGCGCACGCAGGCGGUCUGUCAAGUCGGAUGUGAAAUCCCCGGGCUCAACCUGGGAACUGCAUUCGAAACUGGCAGGAUAGAGUCUUGUAGAGGGGGGUAGAAUUCCAGGUGUAGCGAUGAAAUGCGUAGAGAUCUGGAGGAAUACCGGUGGCGAAGGCGGCCCCCUGGUCAAAGACUGACGCUCAGGUGCGAAAGCGUGGGGAGCAAACAGG